GGUUGAACGCUAGCGGCAGGCCUAACACAUGCAAGUCGAACGGGAUCGACGGCAGCUUGCCGAAGAUGGAGAGGGUGCACGUUCUAACGCGUGAAACUACCUCUACAGGGUGAUAAGCCUCUCGAACAUAACACCCAUAGAUCACGGGGGCAUCUUCGGGUUCAUUUAUUUUGGGGAUAUGUUGGGCUCGCGUNACAUUAGGAUAGGGCACUACGCAUACUGGCACGAUGUAGGGGGCUCUGAGACACACUUCCCUGACUGGUNCNGAGACNCGNACGAGACUCCACGGGAGGAAUAUUAAAAUAUGGCAUUGACCGAACUCACCAUAUGCAACGUGCCUAUGCUGCCCAUUUUUUAAACAGUUUUGGCCAGGAUAAACUCCCUGCUUUUUGAGUUAAUGAUGAACAAGAUCCGWCCCUCCGGGG
rnacentral:rRNA from 1 species